GUGACUUUAAUGCAUUUGAGUGAAGCAAAAAUGACAACAUCACAAAUCUUUGUCCUUAUGACUUUCAUGGUCUUCGCCUUUGCAUCACUAGAGUUGACAGCUGGACAAUGUUGGCUUUUUGUUCACGAAGAUUGGGGAUCCUGUACAAGUGACGAUAAUUGUCAGGUUCACUGUAACAAAUAUCAUGACCGUGCAGCUUAUGUUAAGGGUCAAUGUGAAGCUCAAAUGAGUGUAUGUAGUUGUCGAGCUUGUUCGUACUAACAAUAUAAUAAUUUAUUGUAUUGUUAGUAAUAUAAGUUAACCAGUUAAUACAACUUAUUAUUACUUU